UCAAGAAGUCCGAGGAAGAUGAUUUCGUCGAAAGUAGUAACAUUAUAGUCAUGUUAUGAUUAUUCAAAUGAUUUUCUUGUAUAAAGUCAUACGAUACCCUCGAUUCUGUCCUCCAAGAGUUAACGUGUCUACGCCAAUGGCUGCAUAAAGGGGGAACGCGGCACCUCGAUAUUCAGGGGUUCUCAUUUCUCGUCCUUUCUUAAAUCUCUACUUAAUCUUUGCUCUCGUUUACGUGAAUUAUCAUCGGAGAACUUUAAUAAGUUUAAUGCCUGACACCAACCAAGUCUUUUCCCAGGCCACUUCGUGUCUCUGAUAGUCAGAGGGAUAUGGUUAAGCUUGCGUCGUUGCUUCUCGAGAACCACGGUAAGUCCGAUUGAUUCUAUUCUACCAAGGAUGCUGUAUUUCGAUCACCAAGCUUCAUUUUUACGAUUUAAAUGUUAUAUAUUUAUAUUUAUGUUAAGUAAAAGUGAUUUAUAUUGUUUUAUUAUUCGUGAUUUGAAACUCUCAACGAUAGGUAUGUAUAUACAUAUAUAUAUCAAAGUGGUAUUCAAAUAUUUAAAAGAAUGUGGUUCUGCCAAAAUAUA